GCCAGGCGAUGUGGUUUAUGCCUGUAAUCCCAACAGCUUGGGAGGCUGAGACAGGAGGAUCACAAGUUCAAAGCAGUUUCAGCAAAAGGGAGAUGCUAAGCAACUCAGUGAGACCCUAUCUCUA
rnacentral:sRNA from 1 species